CCUUGGGCUCAACCCUGGGGCUUCAGCAGAUAAGACUGCUGCAUCUGGGUGAUGGCUCCCAGCUUUUGGUCCUGCAGCUUUCAGGGAGGAGGCUGUUGUAAAAGAUGCAUCAGCAAUAAUUUCUGGAUGGCUGAGGCUGGCAAUGGUAAUUAGCAUCGUGGACCUCUUGCACAGGCAGUGUGUUGGACUUGUGGAGCCAGCAGCUUCUUAAGGGCUUUUUCCCUGCUUCCACCACCUGCUACUGAAAUGACACAGGAGUCAUCAUCAAAAGGAGCAACGGCUGCCAGGUUUUGAGACGCUGGCAACUUGCGAAAGCAGCAAGGGGACAAACGCCAAUAGUCACACACCCGCCCUUGCUCAGAGAGCAGAGCCGGGCUUUGUGGUUCUUUGCUUUUGUUUUGAAAGUAAAAUGAACGUGUUUAC